GGUUGUGAGCCGAGCCAAGAUGGGAUCUCUUGGCUGAAAUUAUUUGAUCUGAAGUUGAUGUAUCUCAGUAGAGGAAGAUGAACCAGCUCGGUUGGCAGAGGGCCAUGGAAACUAUUGUUGGCGAGACUUAUCUCAGAAAGGAAAGAAAGGUUCCCUACAUGUGGAGGGAUCGUGCCUGUAAGACCCAUGAGAGAAAGGUUCAGAGAAGUGACUCUGAAGUUGGUGGUGAGGCCACAAGAGACACCAAUCCAACUGCAUACAGAGGUAUUGGCAGACCAGUUGGUAGCCAAAUAAUUUAGAGGGUCGAGCGUGAUAUGUUGUUUGAAUGCAAGAAGAGCAUCUCGAUCGGAGCUGAUAUCGAGUGUUGCUGCAGAGGCUGAGCAAGAGAAGAAAAGGUGAAGUGAUAAAGCUGCAAUGCCAAAGAGAAAACAAGUUAUCGCCAUUAAUUUAGAUUCCAAGGCUGUUUUGAUAUUUGUUCAUAGGAAAAUUGGUGAAGUUGGA
rnacentral:misc_RNA from 1 species